AGCUUUGCACAGUGGCAGGAUCAUAGCCAGUGAGGUUUCUCCAAGGCACGAGUAUUGCUAAUUAAAAACUAAACAGAAGAAACAUCAGCAAAUGUAAUGAAAAAUGCUAAACGCGUUAACCCUGAACCAUAGUUUUGUACUGAGAGAGUCAGUGCAAUUCUGGGUUCUUGCUUCUUUUCCAGAUGA
rnacentral:snRNA from 13 species